GUACUUACUUCAGCAGUCUGUGUGCUCAGAUCGGAACAAUAUGGGAAGAUUAGCAUGGCACCUGUGCAAAGAUGGUAUGCAAAUUCUUGUAUGCUUCACACUUUAU